GACGAACGCUGGCGGCGUGCCUAAUACAUGCAAGUAGAACGCUGAAGGAGGAGCUUGCUUCUCUGGAUGAGUUGCGAACGGGUGAGUAACGCGUAGGUAACCUGCCUGGUAGCGGGGGAUAACUAUUGGAAACGAUAGCUAAUACCGCAUAAGAGUAGAUGUUGCAUGACAUUUGCUUAAAAGGUGCAAUUGCAUCACUACCAGAUGGACCUGCGUUGUAUUAGCUAGUUGGUGGGGUAACGGCUCACCAAGGCGACGAUACAUAGCCGAGCUGAGAGGGUGAUCGGCCACACUGGGACUGAGACACGGCCCAGACUCCGACGGGAGGCAGCAGUAGGGAAGCUUCGGCAAUGGACGGAAGUCUGACCGAGCAACGCCGCGUGAGUGAAGAAGGUUUUCGGAUCGUAAAGCUCGGUUGUAAGAGAAGAACGGGUGUGAGAGUGGAAAGUUCACACUGUGACGGUAUCUUACCAGAAAGGGACGGCUAACUACGUG
rnacentral:rRNA from 1 species